GCCGGCUUAGCUCAGUUGGUAGAGCACCCGCCUUGUAAGCGGAAGGUCGUCAGUUCGACUCUGACAGCCGGCACCA
rnacentral:tRNA from 8 species